rnacentral:lncRNA from 1 species
AGCUGCCCUUACAGCUGCUGUGGAUGCUCCAUGGUGCCCACGAAGAGGAAAAGUACGUGACUGGGGAGCAGUGGGAAACAGGUUUUGUCCAAAGAUAUUUUAAUCAUUAUCACUCGUCACUCCAAAAUGGUCAGACACAGUUCAGAGCUGUAUUCUUCCUGUGAUUUUUGUUGGUCAACAGAGGGCCAGAGACAGAUCUGUACAUCACUUCAGUCCAACAAACCCUGUUGUGAGAGGCUUCCCUGGCAUUUAAGUGAGAUCCAUCACUGUAACAUGCACCUCCCAAGUGUUAUCACUGAAUUGUUUGCCAGCGUAUGUCUGAAUCAAAGAGAAGGGGCAGAAAGUGUCCUGGCUGAUGUGCAACCUUUUAAUGAUUUUCUUCUGCAAUCACUCACAGAAUGCCAUUUGAGGAGCUGUGAAAGAAUGACUUUUAAAACCCAAGCCAUUCUAUGAUUCUGUGAUUGUAAAACAAGACCUCAGACCUUCAUGAUCAUUUUCUUUACAUCAAAAGCUCAUUCUGAAUCUCAAGUGUAUUAAUUGCUCAAUCUUGUUAAUUCUUCAGUCCAAAAAAAAAAAAAAAAAAAAAAAAAAAAGAAUUAAUCCAAAACAAAAAGAACCCAAAUCUUUGAAAAAUAACCUAACUAGUCAGUGAUCCCAGCUAGUUGGAUUAGUGAUCAGGCUUGAUCACAGGUACUCAAAAUAUUCUCUUCUGUGACUGCUGUGACUAAUGUAUCAGGGCAGAAAUGAGUACUGCCUUGAAUUACUUUCCCACCAAAUUAAAGGCAUUGAGUUGCCAAUAUAUCUCAGGCUUUUCAUUAAAUGCCGCUGAAAUCUGCAUCUUAAAAUCGUGGAG